UAUGGCUCAGUUGGUAGAGAAUGAGACUCUUAAUCACAGGGUCAUGGGUUUGAACCCCACAUUGGGCAAAG